CUGCUCGGGUCGGGCUGGGUAUCGGUCGGCGGGUGGCAGAAUUCAGCCCUUCUACAGUCAAGAUUGUGUUGCUCUCUGAAGAUGUAAACCUUAAGUUUUAUUAUAUUUUUAUUAAGAGACAUAUGCAAAAUCAAAAGUUGAACAGAAGGCUGUUACUCCCAUUAAGAAGAGGUAUGACAGGGAAAAGCAAACAAGGAAAAUGAAGAAUGGUGUUCCCUUUAAAUUAGAACAAAUUUUUGUCCUGGAAUAGAAGAUGGAGCAAGAAGAUGAGUGCUUUCAAGGGAAAGUGUGUUAAGUGCUGAAGACAUUGACUACAUUGUUUAAGAACACUUCAUGCUUACUUAAUGACUGAUUACUCAGUAACGUUCCCAAGGUCAGCCAAACCUUGGGUAUCUGUCAUCUGAAUGCCAGUUCCAUGAAUUAAAGUGACCCAAAUUGCA